AACGAACGCUGGCGGCAGGCCUAACACAUGCAAGUCGAACGCCCUAGCAAUAGGGAGUGGCAGACGGGUGAGUAACACGUGGGAACGUGCCUUUCGGUUCGGAAUAACCCAGGGAAACUUGGACUAAUACCGGAUACGUGCGAGAGCAGAAAGAUUUAUCGCCGAAAGAUCGGCCCGCGUCCGAUUAGUUAGUUGGUGAGGUAAUGGCUCACCAAGGCGACGAUCGGUAGCUGGUCUGAGAGGAUGAUCAGCCACACUGGGACUGAGACACGGCCCAGACUCCUACGGGAGGCAGCAGUGGGGAAUAUUGGACAAUGGGCGCAAGCCUGAUCCAGCCAUGCCGCGUGAGUGAUGAAGGCCCUAGGGUUGUAAAGCUCUUUCGCCAGGGACGAUAAUGACGGUACCUGGAUAAGAAGCCCCGGCUAACUUCGUGCCAGCCGCCGCUGUAAU
rnacentral:rRNA from 1 species